UUCUUAAACAAAGAGAUUCCAGAAAACAUGAUUGUGAGGAUUUCACAUGGCUACAUAUAGUUCCCAAUUCUCAAAGGCUGUGGCUCAUGAAAACAUGACUGCGAGGCAACGACAAUUAAGAAAAAGGAAUUUAGGAAGACUGGUGGAGAUGAGGAACGAAUGGCAGCCAUUGCAGCUUACAUGAAGCUUAAUUGGCAGGGCCUUCAGAAGAAGGUUGUCUUUGUUACUGUUAUUACAGAUCUCAACACCUUCCAUCGCACAUGGUUCAACACUGGUGUCAACCAAUGCUACUGCCCUUCGGACGAGGUUUCCAAGA